CCUACGGGAGGCAGCAGUGGGGAAUUUUGGACAAUGGGCGCAAGCCUGAUCCAGCCAUUCCGCGUGAGUGAAGAAGGCCUUCGGGUUGUAACGCUCUUUCGCAAGGGAAGAAAACUUAUCCUCUAACAUAGGAUGAGGUUGACGGUACCUUGAUAAGAAGCACCGGCUAACUACGUGCCAGCAGCCGCGGUAAUACGUAGGGUGCUAGCGGUAAUCGGGAUUACGCGGCGUAAAGCGUAAGCCAGAUGUGAAAUCCCCGAGCUCAACCUGGGAACUGCGGUUGAAACUACAAGACUAGAAUAGGUCAGAGGGGGGUAGAAUUCCACGUGUAGCAGUGAAAUGCGUAGAGAUGUGGAGGAAUAUCAAUGGCGAAGGCAGCCCCCUGGGAUCAUAUUGACGCUCAUGCACGAAAGCGUGGGGAGCAAACAGGAUUAGAUACCCGGGUAGUC
rnacentral:rRNA from 1 species